GCGCGAAAAGAGUCUGCCACUGAAUAUGAAAGAGAAUCAAGGUUGUAUCCUCCCUCCAAGAAAAAUACACAACGGCCCCCACAUAGAUCUUUGGCGAGUUGUGUAAUAUCUGAGGCCAGCAUGUAGUAUGUUCCUGUUGUAAAUUGCAGACUGGCCAGCGGAUCCAGAACAUGACCAUCAUACCCAGCAGAAACGAGAAUUAUAUCUGGCUUGAACUUUUGAGCACAUGGCACAAUGACUUCAUCAAACACAGUCCUCAUGGCAAUGUCACCUGAUCCUCCUGGCAAAG
rnacentral:misc_RNA from 1 species